rnacentral:rRNA from 1 species
GUGAACAAUUAAGGGCGCGCGGUGGAUGCCUAGGCUCUCGGAGGCGAUGAAGGACGCGAUAAGCCGCGAUAGGCCACGGCGAGGUGCAAGUAACCCUUGACCCGUGGGUUUCCGAAUGGGGCAACCCGGCCGUCUAGAUGACGGUCAUGCAUUAUCAUGCAGGCGAACGCGGGGAACUGAAACAUCUCAUUACCCGCAGGAGAAGAAAACAAAUAGUGAUUCCCCCAGUAGUGGCGAGCGAACGGGGAAGAGCCCAAACCGUUGCCGUUUCGGCGACAGCGGGGUCAUGGGACCGCGAUAUUCGACGGAAGACGAAGUGCAAUUACCUGGAAAGGUAAGCCGUGGAGGGUGACAGCCCCGUGCACGACACCUCUUUCUUAGAUAGCGGUAUCCCGAGUAGGGCGGGACACGAGAAAUCCUGCCUGAAUUCGCCAGGACCUCCUGGCAAGGCUAAAUACUCCCGAGAGACCGAUAGUGAACCAGUACCGCGAGGGAAAGGUGAAAAGUACCCCGAGCAGGGGGGUGAAAUAGACCCUGAACCCGCGCGCCUACAAGCGGUCGGAGCCACGCGAUGUGGUGACGGCGUGCCUUUUGCAUAAUGAGCCUACGAGUUAGUCGUCACCAGCGAGGUUAAGGGCUUCAGGCCCGUUAGCCGAAGUGAAAGCGAGCCUUAACAGGGCGUCGAGUUGGUGGCGCUAGACGCGAAACCUUGUGAUCUACCCACGAGCAGGUUGAAGUCGCGGUAACACGUGAUGGAGGACCGAACCGGUAAACGUUGAAAAGUUUUCGGAUGACUCGCGGGUAGGGGUGAAAGGCCAAUCAAACUGGGAAAUAGCUCGUACUCUCCGAAAUGCAUUUCGGUGCAGCCUGUGAUGUUCUGUUCCAGAGGUAGAGCUACUGGUUGGACGCGAGGGCUUCACCGCCUAUCAAAUCCGGAUAAACUCCGAAUGCUGGAACACGAAAUCAUGGAGUGAGCCCGCGGGUGCUAAGGUCCGCGGACGAGAGGGAAAGAACCCGGACCACCGGCUAAGGUCCCGGAUGGACAGUUAAGUUGAUCAAACGAGGUGGGAUCGCGGAGACAGCUAGGAUGUUGGCUUGGAAGCAGCCAUUCAUUUAAAGAGUGCGUAACAGCUCACUAGUCGAGCGAUCCCGCGUGGAUAAUACACGGGCAUAAAACUGUCAACCGAAGCCGUGGGGUUAGCUUUAUUGCUAACCGGUAGGAGAGCAUUCCUGCCAGCUUUGAAGGUCACCCGCGAGAGUGACUGGAGCGGCAUGAAAAGCAAAUGUAGGCAUAAGUAACGAUAAUGGGGGCGAGAACCCCCCACGCCGCAAGACCAAGGAUUCCCCGGCAAUGUCAAUCAGCCGGGGGUCAGCCGGCCUCUAAGGCUCACCCGAAAGGGGAUGCCGACGAGAAACGGGUUAACAUUCCCGUGCUUCUCGUCACCGUGACGCGGUGACGGGGUGAUGAAUGGACCGCGCGCAGACGGAAUAGCGCGUUGAAGGCCGUACCCUUUGAGGGUGGUAGUCAAGCACGCCACCGGAGGCGACAGCCGAUAGUACCUCGAGGCCUCGGCCGAGGGGAUAGCGUCCAGGCAAUUAACCCCCUAGAAAACCCGCUAAACUUCAAGUGACGAGGAACCGUACCGUAAACGGACACACGUGGUCGGGUAGAACAUACCAAGGCGCUCGAGUGAUUCAUGGUCAAGGAACUAGGCAAAAUAGUCCUGUAACUUAGGGAUAAAGGACGCUCUAGUGAUAGAGCCGCAGAGAAAUGGCCCAGGCGACUGUUUACCAAAAACACAUGGCUAUGCCAAAUCGAAAGAUGACGUAUAUGGCCUGACACCUGCCCGGUGCCGGAAGGUUAAGAGGAGAGCUCAUCAGUAAUGAGAAGGUUUGAAUUGAAGCCCCGGUAAACGGCGGCCGUAACUAUAACGGUCCUAAGGUAGCGAAAUUCCUUGUCGGGUAAGUU